rnacentral:rRNA from 1 species
UACGAAGGUGGCAAGCGUUGUUCGGAUUUACUGGGCGUAAAGGGUGCGUAGGCGGUCCGCUAAGUUGGAUGUGAAAACUCUGGGCUUAACCCAGAGCCUGCAUUCAAAACUGACGGGCUAGAGUUCUGGAGGGGGUAGCGGAAUUCCUGGUGUAGCGGUGAAAUGCGUAGAUAUCAGGAGGAACACCGGUGGCGAAGGCGGCUACCUGGACAGAAACUGACGCUGAGGCACGAAAGCUAGGGGAGCAAACAGG